AUGAUCCUAUCCACGUCCUGGUCAUGAACAUGAGACCAUGUACUCUCAGUUUAACAUCCUUCUGGUCAGGUGGUCGUGUGGUUUGGUCCCCGUACUUAUCCUCCAGUUCUGGCUUCUCUUUAACCACCACCAGUUCCUGUUUAUCUCUUCUCAGCUUGUUCUGGUCAGAGUCUAUCAUGAUGAUAGAAACAUGAUCAUCUCCUGGAUCAAAUACCCAGGACUGCAAUCCUUUUCCACGCUUCAGAGAGCUCUUGGAACCUUGCUCAAUCAUCUCUAAGCCCCUCA
rnacentral:lncRNA from 1 species